rnacentral:misc_RNA from 1 species
UUUCCGUAGGUGAACCUGCGGAAGGAUCAUUAUUGUAUAACCGAGGUGCGAGGGCUGUCGCUGACCCGAAAGGUCGUGCACGCCCGAGUGCCCUCACACACAUCCAUCUCACCCCUAUGUGCACCACCGCGCGGGUCCCCCUUUGGCUUGUUCGGAGGGGGGCUUACGUUUUCACACAAACUUUGUAUGCAGUGUAGAAUGUAUUUUUUGUUCUUGCGAUCACGCAAUCAAUACAACUUUCAACAACGGAUCUCUUGGCUCUC